rnacentral:rRNA from 1 species
UACGUAGGUGGCGAGCGUUGUCCGGAAUUACUGGGUGUAAAGGGCGUGUAGGCGGGACUGCAAGUCAGAUGUGAAAUACCGGGGCUCAACUCCGGGGCUGCAUUUGAAACUGUAGUUCUUGAGUGCAGGAGAGGAAAGCGGAAUUCCUAGUGUAGCGGUGAAAUGCGUAGAGAUUAGGAGGAACACCAGUGGCGAAGGCGGCUUUCUGGACUGUAACUGACGCUGAGGCGCGAAAGCGUGGGGAGCGAACAGGAUUAGAUACCCUGGUAGUCCACGCCGUAAACGAUGGAUACUAGGUGUUGGGGGUAUCGACCCCCUCAGUGCCGGAGUUAACACAAUAAGUAUCCCACCUGGGGAGUACGGCCGCAAGGUUGAAACUCAAAGGAAUUGACGGGGGCCCGCACAAGCAGUGGAGUAUGUGGUUUAAUUCGAAGCAACGCGAAGAACCUUACCAGGGCUUGACAUCUACCGAAUCUUCUAGAGAUAGAGGAGUGCCUUCGGGAGCGGUAAGACAGGUGGUGCAUGGUU